rnacentral:pre_miRNA from 1 species
UGGGAGGAGAGUCACGGCAGGCUGACUCUCUCUGAGCUCAGGAGUAAUGUGGGUAAAGGAGCUUUGGGAGUCAGGCGCCGUGGCUUACACCUGUCA